UUAAUUGAAGCCAAAAUUUAGGCAUAUUAUUGUUAAUAAUAUUUUUGAAAAAAAAAUUUCCAAUUAAA
rnacentral:tRNA from 1 species